ACAUGCCUACAACAUAGCAUUAAUGCACUAGAUCCCAUUAGAACUUUGCAGUUAAGCAUUCUUAGGCUAGAGUUGUACUGGGAUGGGUGAUCGCCCGGGAAGUCCUAGUGUUUUGCAUGCC
rnacentral:rRNA from 1 species